GUGCCAGCCGCCGCGGUAAUACGGAGGGUGCGAGCGUUGUCCGGAAUCACUGGGCGUAAAGGGUGCGCAGGCGGGGCAGCAAGUCGGAGGUGAAAGCCUGUGGCUCAACCCCGGAAGUGCCUUCGAAACUGUUGCUCUUGAGUCCCGGAUAGGUUGCCGGAAUUCGUGGUGUAGCGGUGAAAUGCGUAGAUAUCACGAGGAACACCAGAGGCGAAAGCGGUCAACUGGACGGGUACUGACGCUCAGGCACGAAGGCGCGGGGAGCAAACAGGAUUAGAAACCCGAGUAGUCC
rnacentral:rRNA from 1 species